GGGGGGAGGCUCAGUGGUAGAGUGCAUGCCUAACUUGCACGAGGUCCUGGGUUCAAUCCCCAGUACCUCCA
rnacentral:tRNA from 1 species